rnacentral:rRNA from 1 species
UACGAAGGGGACUAGCGUUGUUCGGAAUCACUGGGCGUAAAGCGCACGUAGGCGGAUAUGUCAGUCAGGGGUGAAAUCCCGGGGCUCAACCUCGGAACUGCCCUUGAUACAGCAUAUCUUGAGUCCGAUAGAGGUGGGUGGAAUUCCUAGUGUAGAGGUGAAAUUCGUAGAUAUUAGGAAGAACACCAGUGGCGAAGGCGGCCCACUGGAUCGGUACUGACGCUGAGGUGCGAAAGCGUGGGGAGCAAACAGG